rnacentral:rRNA from 1 species
UUAUAAGAGACAGCAGUAGCCGCGGUAAUACGUAGGUGGCAAGCGUUGUCCGGAAUUAUUGGGCGUAAAGGGCUCGCAGACGGUUUCUUAAGUCUGAUGUGAAAGCCCCCGGCUCAACCGGGGAGGGUCAUUGGAAACUGGGAAACUUGAGUGCAGAAGUGGAGAGUGGAAUUCCACGUGUAGCGGUGAAAUGCGUAGAGAUGUGGAGGAACACCAGUGGCGAAGGCGACUCUCUGGUCUGUAACUGACGCUGAGGAGCGAAAGCGUGGGGAGCGAACAGGAUUAGAUACCCGAGUAGUCCCUGUCUCUUAUAA